UACGUAGGAGACGAGCGUUGUCCGGAAUUACUGGGCGUAAAGCGCGUGUAGGCGGAUCGGCAAGUCUGCUGUGAAAGCUCCUGGCUUAACCGGGAGUGGUCGGUGGAAACUGCGGGUCUGGAGGACGGUAGAGGCUGGUGGAAUUCCCGGUGUAGUGGUGAAAUGCGUAGAGAUCGGGAGGAACACCUGUGGCGAAGGCGGCCAGCUGGGCCGGAUCUGACGCUGAGACGCGAAGGCGUGGGGAGCGAACGGG
rnacentral:rRNA from 1 species